UACGUAGGGGGGCAAGCGUUGUCCGGAUUUAUUGGGCGUAAAGAGCGUGUAGGCGGUCCGGUAAGUCCGCUGUGAAAGUCGGGGGCUCAACCCUCGAAUGCCGGUGGAUACUGUCGGGCUAGAGUGCGGAAGAGGCGAGUGGAAUUCCUGGUGUAGCGGUGAAAUGCGCAGAUAUCAGGAGGAACACCAAUUGCGAAGGCAGCUCGCUGGGACGUUACUGACGA
rnacentral:rRNA from 1 species